GAUGAAGAACGUAGCGAAAUGCGAUAAGUAAUGUGAAUUGCAGAAUUCAGUGAAUCAUCGAAUCUUUGAACGCACAUUGCGCCCGCCAGUAUUCUGGCGGGCAUGCCUGUUCGAGCGUCAUUACAACCCUCAGGCCCCCGGGCCUGGCGUUGGGGAUCGGCAGAAGCCCCCUGUGGGCACACGCCGUCCCUCAAAUACAGUGGCGGUCCCGCCGCAGCUUCCAUUGCGUAGUAGCUAACACCUCGCAACUGGAGAGCGGCGCGGCCAUGCCGUAAAACCCCCAACUUCUGAAUGUUGACCUCGAAUCAGGUAGGAAUACCCGCUGAACUUAAGCAUAUCAAUAAGCGGAGGA
rnacentral:misc_RNA from 1 species